rnacentral:rRNA from 1 species
UACAGAGGGUGCGAGCGUUGUCCGGAAUCACUGGGCGUAAAGGGCGCGUAGGUGGCUGGGUAAGCGUGUGGUGAAAGUCCGGGGCUCAACCCCGGAUCUGCCGUGCGAACUGCCUAGCUCGAGCAAUGUAGAGGCAGGUGGAAUUUCGGGUGUAGCGGUGGAAUGCGUAGAUAUCCGAAAGAACACCAGUGGCGAAGGCAGGUCUCUGGGCUGACACUGACGCUCAUGCACGAAAGCGUGGGGAGCAAACAGG